GGCAACAAAGCAUUCAGAAACUCCUCCAUGCACAUACAGGCUAUGUUUCAUUUUAUGAUAUUCCUAAAUCCUUUUGUUCAUAAAUUCAGUGACUAUCUAUAGGCAGCCACUACUGCCAUCUGUUGGUAGUGGCCAGAACUGAUGCAUUUCAGCAUAGGUGCAUAAAAUGGUUCUUAUCUAAGUCUGUAAGUUGAAUCUUGUCAUCACAGGAACCUCUGUAUUCAUGGAAAAAAAAAAAAAAACCCAGCAUGUGGAAUCAGAUAGACUUGGGUUCAUAUCGUUGCUGUGCCUCAUGUGAGAAGUGUGACCACUGUCAUUUUGGGUUUUCCAUUUGUUAGAUGGGGAUAAUACCUAGUUUAUAAGAAUGUUGUAAGAAUUAUGUAAUGAAUGAAUAUUAGUUUGGGUAGAUGCUAGUCAGAAUUUCAGUGGCUGAACACAGUCUGUUGUUAACUUCAUAGCGUCUUGCUCAUAACACAGUUCAAAAUGGGUGCUCUGAAUCAUCGGGCAGCUCUCCUAAAUCACAGGACCAAGCGCCUUUCAUCUUAUGACUCCACCAUCUUCAACUCUGGCCUCCAAGGUCAUCCUGGAGCCCAACAUCCACCAGCAGAGUAAGAGGAGAGGGCAUGGAGCGACACAAAUGGUUUGUGGCCAAAGUUCAGACUGCUUAAAUUACGUGCCAUCACCCAUACUCACCAGCACUCUGAGAAACAACAAGCCGCUCAGUGAUGGUAAACAACACUCACGAGGAAACCACUUCAAAAAGCUCAGGUCAGUGUUCACAAGGGGACAGUUUUCCUGCAAAUGUAAAAUGUGCCAAUUACAGUGCCAUGUAAAAUGAA